rnacentral:rRNA from 1 species
AGUAUGUGGUUAAUUCGACGCAACGCGCAGACUUACCUAGGCUUGACAUCCCGGAAUUUGCUGGAAACAGUGAAGUGCUUUCAUUAGAAAGAGCCCGGUGACAGGUGCUGCAUGGCUGUCGUCAGCUCGUGUCGUGAGAUGUUGGGUUAAGUCCCGCAACGAGCGCAACCCUCGCCUUUAGUUGCCAGCAUUCAGUUGGGCACUCUAAAGGGACUGCCGGUGUCAAACCGGAGGAAGGUGGGAUGACGUCAAGUCCUCAUGGCCUUUAUGUCUAGGGCUACACACGUACUACAAUGGCAGGUACAAAGGGCAGCGACACAGCGAUGUGAUGCGAAUCCCGAAAAGCCUGUCUCAGUCCGGAUCGGAGUCUGCAACUCGACUCCGUGAAGUUGGAAUCGCUAGUAAUCGUGGAUCAGCAUGCCACGGUGAAUACGUUCCCGGGCCUU